AUGGUGGAGUCUCAUAAGAAUCAGGUGAGGCUAAGCAUUAUCAUCAUCGUGGAGGAACAAGCGACGGAUGCUUCUAACUCUCUAACUAGGAUGCUCUUCAUUCUUCUCUUCAUCCUCGCGGCUCCAAGUUUUAUCUUCGGCCAAGUCUUCCAACCCAAACAACUCAUCUAUACAGAGGGAGACAAGAUCUUGAUUACAUGCAAUCAAAAUGUCACCAGACAUGACACGAUGUAUUGGUACAAGCAGCAAGCUCAGCAAACAGGGGGUGUCCUGUCUUUGUUGGGACAGGGAUACGCAGAAGGUUCCACUCCUGCUGGGGAAUACCAAAUUGAUGUGAUCAGAGCAUCUCGAGCUACCAACCUCACCAAAGACGAGGCCCGAUUGAGUGAUGCGGGCAUGUACUUCUGUGCCGUGAGAGACACAGUGGCCUUAGAGUAG